UCCGUAAUGGUCUAGUGGCUAGGAUUUGUCGCUCUCACUCCCUUGCAUUGCACUGGAACGGUACCGACAAGGCCAGGGUUCAAUUCCCUGUUACGUAC
rnacentral:tRNA from 1 species